rnacentral:rRNA from 1 species
UACGGGGGGAGCAAGCGUUGUUCGGAAUCACUGGGCGUAAAGGGCGUGUAGGCGGUUCGGUAAGUGGGAUGUGAAAUCCCCGGGCUCACCCCGGGACCUGCAUCCCAAACUGCUGAGCUUGAGUACAGGAGAGGGUGGGGGAAUUCCAGGUGUAGCGGUGAAAUGCGUAGAUAUCUGGAGGAACACCGGUGGCGAAGGCGCCCACCUGGCCUGCUACUGACGCUGAAGCUCGAAAGCUAGGGGAGCAAACGGG